rnacentral:tRNA from 2 species
GGGCAGGUGGCAGAGCGGUUGAACGCACCGGUCUUGAAAACCGGCGGACCUUAACGGGUCUCGUGGGUUCGAAUCCCACCCUGCCCG